CAACUAUAAACCAAAGCUCUCCAUUCUUUUCUAGAUGAUGCUGUCUUCUGUUGGUUACUUCAUAGCACUUCCAUUUUCAAAGAACAUCUUCCUGAGAAUAAACUUGGAAAGUAAUGUGACCACAAAACAUCAUAUUCACAGAGUUCAAAGGGAUAUUGGAUACAGAAUAAGAAAAUAUGAGAGAUUAAAACUCAGGAGUUGAGUUCUAGCCUGGAAAACAAGAUGAGAGAACUUUCCAGCCUGCACCAAUGUUCACAGUUCUGAUUGAAUUACAAAAUUUUUCUUCUUUUGAACUCAGAAGUCACUUGGAAACUUUGAGGGAAGUUUCACCACAUCCUUUAAGCCUUUCUUCUGGUUAGCAGGGGAGAUCCAUUAGAACUUAGAGAAAUAUCCCAGCCUCCAGUAUCAGUAGCCUUGCCAGCCUACCCCUAGGAUGCCUGGCCAGGCUUCAUUGUCAGUGUGGUUCACGGUCACAGUUUUACCUUCAGCUAGCCAUAUUUUCCUGGAUGGUCUUAAACUAUUUGCUGAGUUUGGGUUUUUUGUUUUGUCUUAUUGGAUUUUGUUUGUUUGGUUUGUUUGUUUGUUUUGCAGAGAGUUUUCAGACUUUCUGUUAGGUAAAUUUUAAAUUACCAUUAAGAAAUGCUUUCCAAGUUGUGCAUUGCCAAGUAACUGCUUCUCACUAUUCUAGUUUCGUUGGAAUUUUGGUAUUUUUAUUUUGUGUCUUGAUCUUUGGACACGAACCACACCAUUAUUAGUUUCUACUAGAGAUAUUUGUGUGUGUGGCAUGUGUACUUGAUCAUGUGUAUGUCUGCACAUAACGUGCACAUAGGUGUAGAGGACAGAGGUUGACUUUGGGUGUUUUCCUCCAUCACUCUUCCUCCUUAGGUUUUCACCGAAGGUCUCUCACUGAACCUGUGAUUCAUCAGUUCAGACAGGCUGGCUAGCCAGCAAGUUUCCAAGAUCUACAUGUCUGCCCUCUCAGGCCUGGGGUUAUCAGCCAUAUUAGAUGAGCACUUUACUAACUGAAUCAUCUACUACACCCUGUGGAAACAAUGUAUCCAGGGGAUUUUUAUCUGGGGCUUUCUUAUUCAUCUACUUUAUCUUCUUUCUAAGUAUCCUUUCCUGGCAUUUGUUACAUCACAGGCUUUUGUAUCUGUAUUUCUUGACUCCUUCCUAGUUAUUUCAGUCCUGCUUUCCCUUUUUUGUUAUCUUAGCCGGGACUCUUAAAGCGUGUGUGGGCAGCUGCUCCUCUGUGGCCUUUAUGGGCCUCUCCUCUUGAGAAAGUACUUUAUUAAGGCAAACCGCAGCUCCUGUCAGUCAGUCAGUUUCAGGGCUACAAGUACUACUUAUCAUUCUCCUCCAUAGUCAAUGCAAGUUCUAUGUCCCUUAGGUUGUUUCUUCCAUAAGCCUAAGGGCUUUGCUUGUAUGACCCAAAUCCUCAUUCCUGAAUUUAAAAAAAAAAAUGUGUAUCAGUAAUUAUUUAUAUCUUACUCUGGAAUUGCUGCACAUAUCCUUCCAAAUUACAAUUUGGAAUCAAAAUGUUCCCAGAUCAGUUACCUAUAUGUUUUUCUCUGCCUACCAUCAUUUUGGUUUCCUAUUGCUCUAGCUCAGUUACCACUGCCAAGAUGGGAAAUCCUUGCCUGCUCAUACCUGGAUCCAGAGUUCAAAAUCAAAAUGGCUCUAACAUAGUCUAGUGGGACUCUUAUUGUGUCUCCUGGCAGAAAUGCAUCCCAUUUGGAAGCCAGGACUUUUAUACCUUCAGUGUACAGAGUUAUGGGGACUGGAAAGUGUUCCCUAACAAGUCAGUAGGACUGGUGUUCAGUGGGGUCAUUUCUGCUUUCUCUGUUUUGUUCUUGGAACCAUGUGUUUGUUCUUAGUAGGGAUAAUAAUCCAAGCCAGUGUAUGUACUACUUCCUGAAGGAUGGCAUUUAAUCCUUAUGAAACCCUGCUUCUGAACUGGCACUUCAGUUAUACCAUUAUUACAUUGAAAGCAAACAUUAAACAGCUAGGUCAGAAACACUGAGGAAGGUAAAUAAGAAGGCUUGCACUUGGCUAUGAAAUAGCCAAGCUGAGCAGGUAAGAGAAGAGGCAGAACUCUGGGCUGUUUCAGCAGGGCCCAGGAGCCCCACCCUCUCCUGCAGCAACAUGUGCAAGGUAUUGUUGCCCUUUCCCUUAGUAAACAUCUAAAAUUUACAGGUAGUUAACCCUCAUGGAUAACCAUGCAUCUAAUUGUAACAGACUGAAUUGUGGGUAAUGGCUUCUGAGAAAGCCUGCACCUUUUUUAGGAGGGCGACCUCUCCAGACUGCCCCAGGGAUAGACAAAGGAGAACUGGUGGGCAAAGUCCAGACGCUAGAGGCAUUCCUUGGCCAUUGCCACUUGGCUCACAGUACCCUCCCAUCUUGCCUUUGCCUUCCCACCUGCUACAGUAAACCUCAAGAACUUGUUUGCCCUACCUGUCCCCUAAUGUGAAUCUCUUUACUUGAGAUUGGAGGACAUGUGGGAGGAGACAUCUCUAACACCCUCAGUAGGUUGCCUGGUGAUCGAUCUGUCAAACUGAAUGACCCUGUUGAUUCCCUGGUCAUGAAUUCACAUGUUAUCUUUUUACUGUGAAGUAGGUCCCGUUUGCAUGCUGUUGAAUUGGAUCCCAUACCUGUGGUUCAGGCAUUCUUUAAGGAACUAAGUCAUGAUAAUAUAGGCCAAGGCACUGAAAGGCAUAACAACAAGUCCAUACCCAGAAUUCACCCCUGUUGGGAUAGACCACUAGCUACUCCAAAAUGGAAAGAGUCCAUGUUAUUGACCAGGUAUCUGAUUUGUCUUGAGUAAUACUGCAGUAUUGAGAACACAGUGUAGUCCUCUGCUCCUAUCAGGUUCCUUAGAAACAGGUGUAGAUAUGGAUUGGCUUUUGUAGCUGGGAAUUUAUGUUGUGACUCACAUAUAGCCUCCUGUGCAAACAUGACAACUCAUGUGUUGUCUUAGUGACAGUUCUAGAGUAGGCCAUGACAAACACUUGCUUAACACCAACUGAUAGAAUCCUUUGUCAGUAUGAAUUUUUCUGUUUCUCUUUCAUGAUGGAUGUUCUAGUCAGAAUGAACCUGUCAUUAGCCGCUAAGCAAGACAGGCACCAUCAGGGACAGAAUCCUAGGUUGAUGCACCUUCAGGGUAUCCUUUCUUUAUUUGCAGCUAAGGCUCUAUGGCUUAAGAGCAUUCCUUGGGGCGUGUCUACUCAUUAGUUUUUGCUCUGCAAGCUCCAGAAUGUGUCUACUAUAGCCUCUUUUAAAACUAUGACCUUAAACUGAAUCUGCUCAGGGAUGUACUCCUUAACUAAGCCUGCCCCUUGCUCAGUCCUGGGCCAAUCCUUACGUGAAUGUGUAUAGGCUCUCGGAAUACAAUUCCCAUGCUUGCUUUAUUGGAAGAUGUUUGGAAAGAACACCUUUGUUCGCCCUUAUCUAUUGCAAGUAAUCUUUCUCUACUCUUUUUAUAUAUUGACUGUGAUUAUUUUGGCUUGCACUCAAUGAUAUGUGACCCCAUUAUAUUUGACUACAAUAUAAUAAAAAAGAUCCUCACUCCAUGUGACCACAUAUCUCCAUUUCUAUACCUCUCUUCCUUACCUCAUUGUCUCUGACCUUCCAGUCUUCUCUGCUGAGAAAGUCUAUACAGGAUGAUCAUGCCAUCAAACACUUGAAACUAACAACAGUAACAAUGAGAAACUGAAGUGGAAAUUUAAG
rnacentral:lncRNA from 1 species